CUAGCGUUGCUCGGAAUCACUGGGCGUAAAGCGCACGUAGGCGGCUUUCUAAGUCAGGGGUGAAAUCCUGGAGCUCAACUCCAGAACUGCCUUUGAUACUGGAGAGCUUGAGUCCGGAAGAGGUGAGUGGAACUCCGAGUGUAGAGGUGAAAUUCGUAGAUAUUCGGAAGAACACCAGUGGCGAAGGCGGCUCACUGGUCCGGUACUGACGCUGAGGUGCGAAAGCGUGGGGAGCAAACAGG
rnacentral:rRNA from 1 species